AGCUUUUUGAAUCCAUGCAGAGAUUUCUUCAGACAUCAACCCAUUAGGGCUGAUGAGACUUCCAACAUAAGCAACGUG
rnacentral:pre_miRNA from 1 species